UACUGCGCCUUUCACAAUUGUUGACACAAUUUAGUUUCUUCUGAUGCCAACAUAGACACAACCAACAAACUAGAGGUGACGGGGUAGAGCCUGCCAACUUUGAAAUAAAUUAAAUGGCCACUAUGAAUUGACCAAGGACGUUAUAUCGGAUGUUUCAAAAAUGUGUGGCAUAAUUUUAACCACGAAUACUCCUCUACAAAUAAGAACAGAUAGCACAAAAUUUACUAACCUACCUCAAAAAAUAGAAAAAUUACAGCUUUCCAAAAAUCGGUACGAAAAAUGAUUUUUUGGAAAUAUUUUUAUUAUCGUUUAUCCCAUUAUUAUGAAACUUUGCAUGUCAAGGGACAAAAACACACUUUUUGAUAUGGUGUAAACGGAAGUCUUGUAAAAGCUAUAAAUUUCCGGUGACAAUGGGACCUUUACAGUUUUUGGGUCAUAACUCUUUUUCUCAGCCUAUUAACACGUAUUUUUCAUGCCAAAAAUCAAAAGUGCAAUUAUUUUUUUAUAAAAAAGGUACUCUUGUUCCAAUGAACCAUUCACUGCCGAAUACCAUCGCGCUAAUGUUUUUUCAUGUGGUAAACUGUCGUGCAACUGUAUUCUGACAUAGUUAUAAGCACGCGGAGAAUAGUAAUGAAGAGUGCAAGCAAAUUUUUUUAUAUUCACGCCGUAUUUUGCAGGCACCUUUUGGUUGUUCGCUUUUUAGAAGAUUCGGUGAAUUAAUUCACCAUUUUUUUCAGUAAUAAUAAUAAUAAAGUUGGUUUAAAAUUUAGUACAUUUUGCUCUACGACGUUUGACCACUGCGAUCGCAACGCUGUUUGAUUCGUAAGUUGGCGUUGUUAAUCGAGUUGUGUUGUUUAUAGUUUUUUAUCCUUUACUGUUUUUUUUUUCAUCGUAUUACGGAAGAGUCCGGAGGCCUGUUAGAGGCUCUCUUUUCUAUAUCAUACCCCUGAUCCCCGUGCAGAUAACUAACCUAACAACUACUAAUAAAAUAAGUGGUUAAGUGGUGAAAUGAAAUCAGUAUGCUAGCCCAAAAACUUAACGGCUGACGGAAAUAUCAGCAGUCGAAAAGAUCAUUUCAACUUGCAAACGAGUGAAUUUCCUUGCCUGUUUGUCUUGUUUGGGGCGAGAUACGUAGAUGCAUACCUGAAGAUUAUGGGAAAAUACAUAAUUGUGCAGACUCGAAAGCGAAUACGCUUUUUACCACGUACAACGUUAAUUAAAAUUACUUUAAAUGUGAUAAGAGGCUACGAAAAGGAGAACACCAAAAUAAUUAUAACUAUGGAAAGAACUGAACAAGAAGUCGAAGAGGUAAAAGAAGGAGAGGCAGUUGAGGAUGUUGAAGAAAUUGAUGGUUUUAGAAUAAAUUUGGAAUUUACCAACUCCAACUACUUGGAUGCGGCCUUCAAGGCUAUCGAAGAAUUUGCAAGUGAAAAAAUGGAAAAUGCAAUAAUGCCCCCAAAUACUUCUUCCUCGGAUUAGGGCACAAAAGCGAAAGAAAAUUGGGAACAACUUCUAUGAAAUUGCGAAUGUUAAGUUUGUAACUUAUUUUAUACUCUUCAGUAUAAUAUAAAGUUGUAAAUAAACUGCAUGCUUAUUGUUUAGUGACUUUUGGUUAAUAAUGUUGGUCAUUUUAUAAAUUCGACAGUUAUUUUAUUGUGAAAAUACAUCUAUAUGAUAUCCAUAUAACAAGUAUCUAACAUUACCUGCAAAAUUUAAGUUAAUUGUGAUCAUUAGUUUCCAUAUUUAUAAAGGAAAUUAUGAGGAAAAAUGAGUAACUUAAAAUUAGAGUAAAGCAAUGCCAUAAAAUUUUUGACAAAAGAGGGCCAUUAACCAGAAAGAAUCCGUGAGAGAAUGAAUGACGUCUAGAAGGAUGGCACACGUUAUAUAUCACAUUACACAAUAAAAUUUUAGCCGAAACCACUACCGAAACAGUUAAGAUGGGUUCGAGAAUCCCCGAAGUGAAAGUGUGAAAAGACAACAAUAAAUGUGGACAUCUAUGCAAACACGUUGAAAAUUUACGUAAAGCAAUUCACCAGAAGACUCAGUUUUUUCUAAUUGAGAAGUGUUUUCGCUGCAUGGGAAUGCGACCGUGCAUAAGGCUGCCAAAAUUAAGCAAACUUUGCWGCUUCGUUAAGACAUACCAUCUUCUCUAUAGUCCGGACUUGCUUCCGCUAACUUUUAUCUUUUUCGAUUACAAAAGAAAAWUUUUAGAAAACGCCGUUUUGACUCUGAUGAUGGCCUAAAAGCAGCCRACAACGAAUUUUUUGAGAGCCAAGAGWAUAUAUUUUUUAUAAAGAUAAACUUUUAGUAGAGGAGAAAUGUGCAAGUGUAUUGAUUGAUGUAGGGAGGGAUUUAUAUUGAAAAAAUAAAUUAU